UUCUAUAUUCUGUAGGUGUUGCUGUUUACACUGAAUUGUCUCCCUUGUAUAUCAACCUGUUGAAGACUGGGCAUGAUGAUGGCAUUGGUGAUUGGCCUGUUUGUUUUUUUUGGGGGUUGGGUUGUUCUCUUUAGAAUUUUUCGUUUCCAUUCUCUAUUCUAUUUCCUUGUCAUUGUCGAAAGAGGUGCAUAAUAAAUGCAAGCAACCCUGACAAGUUUCCAGUUUUGGCUGUUGGCAAAAAGACCUUUGAAAAAAAAACAUAUAUACAUAUUCAAAAUUCGAACCUUACAUGUGAAAAAACAG
rnacentral:lncRNA from 1 species